CCUACGGGAGGCAGCAGUGGGGAAUUUUGGACAAUGGGCGCAAGCCUGAUCCAGCAAUGCCGCGUGCAGGAUGAAGGCCUUCGGGUUGUAAACUGCUUUUGUGCGGAACGAAACGGUGAGCUCUAAUACAGUUUGCUAAUGACGGUACCGUAAGAAUAAGCACCGGCUAACUACGUGCCAGCAGCCGCGGUAAUACGUAGGGUGCGAGCGUUAAUCGGAAUUACUGGGCGUAAAGCGUGCGCAGGCGGUGAUGUAAGACAGAUGUGAAAUCCCCGGGCUCAACCUGGGACCUGCAUUUGUGACUGCAUCGCUAGAGUACGGUAGAGGGGGAUGGAAUUCCGCGUGUAGCAGUGAAAUGCGUAGAUAUGCGGAGGAACACCGAUGGCGAAGGCAAUCCCCUGGACCUGUACUGACGCUCAUGCACGAAAGCGUGGGGAGCAAACAGGAUUAGAUACCCUGGUAGUCCACGCCCUAAACGAUGUCAACUGGUUGUUGGGUCUUCACUGACUCAGUAACGAAGCUAACGCGUGAAGUUGACCGCCUGGGGAGUACGGCCGCAAGGUUGAAACGUCAAAUGAAUUGACGG
rnacentral:rRNA from 1 species